rnacentral:rRNA from 1 species
UGCAGCAGGCGCGAAACCUCUGCAAUAGGCGAAAGCUUGACAGGGUUACUCUGAGUGAUUUCCGUUAAGGAGAUCUUUUGGCACCUCUAAAAAUGGUGCAGAAUAAGGGGUGGGCAAGUCUGGUGUCAGCCGCCGCGGUAAUAC